UACGGAGGAUCCAAGCGUUAUCCGGAUUUAUUGGGUUUAAAGGGUGCGUAGGCGGCUAGUUAAGUCAGGGGUGAAAGACGGUAGCUCAACUAUCGCAGUGCCUUUGAUACUGAAUGGCUUGAAUGGACUAGAGGUAGGCGGAAUGUGACAAGUAGCGGUGAAAUGCAUAGAUAUGUCACAGAACACCAAUUGCGAAGGCAGCUUACUAAAGUGUGAUUGACGCUGAGGCACGAAAGCGUGGGGAU
rnacentral:rRNA from 1 species